rnacentral:rRNA from 1 species
UACGUAUGGAGCAAGCGUUAUCCGGAUUUACUGGGUGUAAAGGGAGCGUAGGCGGCAUACCAAGCCUGAUGUGAAAACCCGGGGCCCAACCCCGGGAGUGCAUUGGGAACUGGCAAGCUAGAGUGCCGGAGAGGCAGGCGGAAUUCCUAGUGUAGCGGUGAAAUGCGUAGAUAUUAGGAGGAACACCAGUGGCGAAGGCGGCCUGCUGGACGAUGACUGACGCUGAGGCUCGAAAGCGUGGGGAGCAAACAGG